rnacentral:rRNA from 1 species
GAUGAACGCUGGCGGCGUGCCUAAUACAUGCAAGUCGAGCGAACAGACGAGGAGCUUGCUCCUCUGACGUUAGCGGCGGACGGGUGAGUAACACGUGGAUAACCUACCUAUAAGACUGGGAUAACUUCGGGAAACCGGAGCUAAUACCGGAUAAUAUAUUGAACCGCAUGGUUCAAUAGUGAAAGACGGUUUUGCUGUCACUUAUAGAUGGAUCCGCGCCGCAUUAGCUAGUUGGUAAGGUAACGGCUUACCAAGGCGACGAUGCGUAGCCGACCUGAGAGGGUGAACGGCCACACUGGAACUGAGAAACGGUCCAGACUCCUACGGGAGGCAGCAGUAGGGAAUCUUCCGCAAUGGGCGAAAGCCUGACGGAGCAACGCCGCGUGAGUGAUGAAGGUCUUCGGAUCGUAAAACUCUGUUAUUAGGGAAGAACAAAUGUGUAAGUAACUAUGCACGUCUUGACGGUACCUAAUCAGAAAGCCACGGCUAACUACGUG